rnacentral:rRNA from 1 species
AUUGAACGCUGGCGGCAGGCCUAACACAUGCAAGUCGAGCGAGGGGCGGACGGGUGAGUAAUGUAUGGGGAUCUGCCUGUUGGCGGGGGAUAACUACUGGAAACGGUAGCUAAUACCGCAUACCAUCAGAUGAACCAAUGUGGGAUUAGCUAGUGGGUAAGGUAACGGCUUACGUGGGCGACGAACCCUAGCUGGUCUGAGAGGAUGAUCAGCCACACUGGGACGGGGACACGGCCCAGACUCCUUCGGAGGGCAGCAGUGGGAAUUAUUGCACAAGGAGCGCAGACCUGAUGCAGCAAGGCCGAGUGUAUGAGAAAGGCCUUCGGGUUGUAAGGUACUUUCAGUCGGGAGGCGUUACCGACAGAAGAAGCACCGGCUAACUCCGUGCCAGCAGCCGCGGUAAUUC